rnacentral:lncRNA from 1 species
CCUCCACCACCACCAUACUACUACCACUCUCCUCCUCCUCCAGUCAAAUCACCACCGCCACCGUACUACUACCACUCCCCGCCUCCUCCGGUGAAAUCCCCACCACCACCAUAUUACUACCACUCACCACCUCCACCGGUGAAAUCUCCACCACCACCAUACUAUUACCACUCACCACCUCCUCCGGUGAAGUCUCCUCCACCACCAUACUACUAUCACUCUCCACCACCACCGGUGAAAUCUCCUCCUCCUUACUAUUAUCAUUCUCCACCUCCUCCGGUGAAAUCUCCUCCACCACCGUACUACUACCAUUCUCCACCUCCUCCAGUCAAGUCUCCACCACCACCGUACUACUAUCAUUCACCACCUCCUCCGGUGAAAUCUCCACCACCACCAUACUAUUACCACUCACCACCCCCACCUGUGAAAUCUCCUCCUCCACCAUACUACUAUCACUCACCUCCUCCUCCGGUGAAAUCUCCACCACCACCAUACUAUUACCAUUCACCACCCCCUCCAGUCAAAUCUCCUCCUCCACCAUACUACUACCACUCACCACCUCCUCCAGUGAAAUCUCCACCACCACCAUACUAUUACAACUCUCCACCACCACCGGUGAAAUCUCCUCCACCUCCAGUCUACAUCUACGCUUCUCCCCCACCUCCCACCCAUUACUAGGCUCAUCAAAUUCAACCAAAUUUCCCCAUUAUUCAAG